ensembl:lncRNA
UAGGUCUUGCCCAAAAGAUCUGAUUGCAACCAUGUGCUUUACGUCAUGUUUUUGGUCUCCUCCAGGUUGUGCUUGGACCGCUGCCCUCAGUGGAGGUGUAAUCAUUCACUGUACAGUGCAGACGUCAGCUUUACUGGUACCAGAUGGAGAGACCGAGCCUGUGUUUACCUGGACCAGCGGACACAUAUAUAAAUGUCCCAGACCGAUAUGUGAAAUCUGACCUCAGGCCAGCCAGAGAGGCUGUUCUCCAUCCAGUCCAGAUGUUCAGACAGACCGGAGGAGCUGAAACAGGACAGUGAAGAGAAUGCCUGAGGAGCGAACACGCAUGCACACACACGCACAAGCAGAGAGUCGCCGAGUGCUGCGGGGACUGAUGUCCCCAGACGCUCCACAUGGACACAGUAAGGAAGAGGUCAUGGCUAUAUUCAGCAAGGUCAUCAAAGAGCCUGGAGAGGGAAAUUACAGAUGCUGGUUGAUGCAGCAUGAGACAAAGACAACCGUGUGUGUAUGUGUGUGUGCGUGUUCAUCUGGUGUUGCUCUUGCUUGACUGACAAAUCAAUGGACUUCAGGAGUUACGAAUCAAAGCAGGGGGGAAGAACAAAACCCACCACACACAGAUCAGAGGGCUGUGUUCUCCAGGACAGAGAGGGGUCUUCUGGGUACUGGCUGAACUGACAACCCCUGGAGCAGCUACGCGACGCUCUGCACAAAUUAAACUGACAGCAGUUUUCUCCACAGAAACUAUAAAGUCCUGACAAGCAUAAAAUUGUGUUAUGUACAGUUAUUUGCCUAGGCUGUUGUUUAUACUGAGAAAAAACACUCUUAUAUGUUUUCAGUGGUGUUUACUCAUACUAAAAUACUCUGACAGUGUCAUUCAGCAGUGACAUGACACCGCUUCUAAAUCAACAGCAUGAAAUAGAGAGCGUAGUGUAGUUUGAUUCCUGAAUGAACAACUCUGGUUCUUAAUGAAUCAAAAAAUUGUAGUGUGACCAGUAUAGUCUGAUUCCGAAUGAAUAUAUCUUUAGAGACUGUUUUUAAAUCAAAAAUAUACAGUGCGACCUGUCUAGUCCUGAUCCUGAAUGAAAUGACUCUUAUGAGUUGACUCGUUUUAGUGAAUCACAUACUUAGAAUCCAGCCAGUACAGUUCAAUUCCCGAACAAAUCCCUCUUAUGAACCAGUACUUUUUAGCGAUUUAAAAAGAUGCAGCACAGCUAGUCCAAUUCUGAAAAAAAUCCAUCUUUUUUGAGCCUGUUUUGUGAAUCAGAAAUAUACAGCACAAAAGCAGUAUAGUCUGGAACCCGAAUGAAAUGACUCUUAUGGGUUUAGUGAAUCAUGUACUUAUAGCACCACCAGUGUAGUUUUAAUUUAUGAAUCACUCUUAUGAACUGGUUCUUUUUAGUGAUGCUGCAGAGUCCGACUCCCAAACGAACAACUCUUAUGAUUCAAUUCUUUUUAAUGAAUCAAACACAUUUAGCAUGGCCAGUGUAAUUAAAUUUUGAAGGAACCAGUCUUCUGAGCCAGUUUUGUAAAUCACAAAUAAACAGUGUGACCAGUGUAGACCA